rnacentral:rRNA from 1 species
GCUUGUCUCAAAGAUUAAGCCAUGCAUGUCUAAGUAUAAACGAUUAUACAGUGAAACUGCGAAUGGCUCAUUAUAUCAGUUAUAAUUUAUUUGAUAGUACCUUACUACUUGGAUAACUGUGGUAAUUCUAGAGCUAAUACAUGCAAAAAAACCCGACUUCUGGAAGGGUUGUAUUUAUUAGAUUGAAACCAACCGCUUCGGCGUGAUGUGGUGAUUCAUAAUAAAUUUGCGAAUCGCAUGGCUUUACGCCGGCGAUGGAUCAUUCAAGUUUCUGCCCUAUCAGCUUUGGAUGGUAGGGUAUUGGCCUACCAUGGCUUUAACGGGUAACGGAGAAUUAGGGUUCGAUUCCGGAGAGGGAGCCUGAGAAAUGGCUACCACAUCCAAGGAAGGCAGCAGG